rnacentral:rRNA from 1 species
UUUGACCUACGGGGCGCAGCAGUGAGGAAUAUUGGUCAAUGGGCGGUAGCCUGAACCAGCCAAGUAGCGUGAAGGAUGAAGAUUCUAUGGAUUGUAAACUUCUUUUAUAAAGGAAUAAAGUGAGGCACGUGUGCCUUUUUGUAUGUACUUUAUGAAUAAGGAUCGGCUAACUCCGUGCCAGCAGCCGCGGUAAUACGUAGGAUCCGAGCGUUAUCCGGAUUUAUUGGGUUUAAAGGGAGCGUAGAUGGGUUGUUAGGUCAGUUGUGAAAGUUUGCGGCUCAACCGUAAAAUUGUAAUUGAUACUG